UGGGGAAUAUUGCGCAAUGGGCGAAAGCCUGACGCAGCGACGCCGCGUGCGGGAUGAAGGCCUUCGGGUUGUAAACCGCUUUCAGCAGGGACGAAGCGAAAGUGACGGUACCUGCAGAAGAAGCGCCGGCUAACUACGUGCCAGCAGCCGCGGUAACACGUAGGGCGCAAGCGUUGUCCGGAAUUAUUGGGCGUAAAGAGCUCGUAGGUGGUCCGCUACGUCUGCUGUGAAAAUCCAGGGCUUAACCCUGGACUUGCAGUGGAUACGGGCGAACUAGAGGUAGGUAGGGGAGAAUGGAAUUCCCGGUGUAGCGGUGAAAUGCGCAGAUAUCGGGAGGAACACCGGUGGCGAAGGCGGUUCUCUGGGCCUUACCUGACACUGAGGAGCGAAAGCGUGGGGAGCGAAC
rnacentral:rRNA from 1 species